rnacentral:piRNA from 1 species
UCNGUGCUAGUGAUCGUAUGGCUCCUUCC